UUGGGCCGGAUCACCCGACCCGACCCAUGAGUGCAUUGUAUAUAUAUGUAGGAGGGCAGAUAUUUUGUACUGAGAGACUUCAUUUGUGUUUAAUAAAAUUUCUCUCUGGAUCUUCUCGAUCCUUCUUUCAACUACCCCUUUCUCUCUCUUGUUUCUCUCACUAUACUCUCCAUGAUUCUUCAGUUUGAUCUUAACGUUUUCAGAAACGUCAU
rnacentral:lncRNA from 1 species